rnacentral:rRNA from 1 species
UAAUUUUAAUGUAAGCUUAAAUGUUAAUCUGCAGAGGUACAGCUCUGCAGAACAAGAUUACAACCUUAAUUAGUGAGUAAAUUCAUUUAAUAAUCAUAGUUGGCCUAAAAGCAGCCACCAAUUAAGAAAGCGUUCAAGCUCAACAAUUAAACUUAACUUAAUUCAAAAAAUAGUAUAAUCUCCUAAUUAUAUUACUGGAUUAUUCUACCUACCUGUAGAAGAGAUACUGUUAAUAUGAGUAACAAGAUUUUAUAUCUCCAAACACACGUGUAUAUCAGCCCGAAUCCCUACUGAUAGUUAACAAUUAGAUAAAUUCACACACUUAAUAAAUAAUUUACCAACAUAUUGUUGAUCCAACACCGGAGUGUAUAUAAGGAUAGAUUAAAAAAAGUAAAAGGAACUCGGCAAACAUAAACCCCGCCUGUUUACCAAAAACAUCACCUCUAGCAUUAUUAGUAUUAGAGGCACUGCCUGCCCAGUGACAUUAGUUUAACGGCCGCGGUAUCCUGACCGUGCAAAGGUAGCAUAAUCAUUUGUUCCUUAAUUAGGGACUCGUAUGAAUGGCCCCACGAGGGUUUGACUGUCUCUUACUUUCAAUCAGUGAAAUUGACCUUCCCGUGAAGAGGCGGGAAUACAAAAAUAAGACGAGAAGACCCUAUGGAGCUUAAAUUAAAGAGUUCAACAAAAUCCAAACCUAAUCCAAUAGGAAAUAAUAACAUUUUAACUGGACAACAAAUUUUGGUUGGGGUGACCUCGGAGUAUAACAAAGCCUCCGAGCGAUUUUUACCAAGACUUACCUGUCAAGGUAUAUUACUUAUUGAUCCAAUCAUAUUGAUCAACGAAACAAGUUACCCUAGGGAUAACAGCGCAAUCCUAUUUAAGAGUUCAUAUCGACAAUAGGGUUUACGACCUCGAUGUUGGAUCAGGACUCCCAAAUGGUGCAGCAGCUAUUAAAGGUUCGUUU